GGUUUCAGUGCUGUGAGCACUCACAAGAGCCGCGCCUGCCUCCCCAGGAGCUGGUGACAUACCAUGCUCCACUGUCCGUAGAGCCUUUCUGCCUUUCUCCUGCCCUUCCCAAUCCUGACUAGCAGAUGGGGAACGGAGGAAAACCUGGUUGAGAGGAACUGGAGCGAGAGAGCAACUGGAUGGGGAGCAGCAAUAUUGACAAGAAGGCUGGAGACAAGUUUUGUGAACAGCAGCUCAGGAGGCCUAGGAUAUUUUGCUGUUUCCUAAGGAAAGACGCUCUCUAUGCCUGCCUUUUCUCUUCUGGGUUCUUGUGCCCUACCAGACUCUUGCUCAAAGGUUGUCAUACAAUUCAGCUGUGCCUGACAGCCAGCACUGUCACAGCUAUUGUGGUGGCUCUGAGACUGAAAUUCAACCUCCAGAUGUAGCUGGGAGUUAGUUCAUCAGUGUCAGGGAAGACUGGAGCCAGCUGAAGGACUUGAACGCAGGCCCAAUGAGCUGGCCACAUGGAAAAGCCAAGCAGCUACAUACUGUAAUCCUGAACAGCCCAUUCAACGGUCAGAUAUCCAGAUAGCUUGCUGGGCUCCAGGGCAACAAACAAAAGCAAUGAUGAAAACACAGAAAUUUUGCAGAUCAGUAGAUGCAUUUCAUACUCCUGAAAAUUGGACCACUUGGAUUAAGCUGCCUAACUCAAUUAUUUUUAGGGAAAGAAGGGGAAAAAUAACCUUGAAGUCUGUAGUUUGUUAUCACAUCCUAAGACCUUUCUUGGAUUUUUGAUCAGAUGGAACGGAUAUGGUCAAGAGGGAAUGUCAUUCUUUGGUGGGUCUUUCUGUAGUCUUACAUAACAGAUUAAUAAAUUUACUUGGCUUGUUCUGUUGACUAGAGAACAGUGACUUUUUUUUGGAAGAAACAUUUUUCCUCUGAAAAAUGCUUAUUUAAUUCUACCAAAUUUCUCUGUAUUCUGGCUGAUACAUAUAUUUUUUUUUUUUUGGCCAAAAACAUUCAAACAUUUCAGAAGAGCUUAAAUAUUUUGAUUUUUCAUUAAAAUGAAGUGCUUUGUUUCAUGCUGUACCCAGAACCUUUUAAAAAUAAAUUUUAUAAAAGCUUUUA